GGAGCAAGGAAGGUUCUCCUGGCUGGCUGCUGGAACUCAAGCAAGACUUUAGCCUGAGAGUUUAACCACCUCAAAUGGCAAAAAACAAGACUGUUGCCCACAGUGCAGAGAGAUGAGAGAAAAAAGAUAACAAGGGCCAGAUUAUGAUCUCCCUCCUUCAUGCUGUGUGCCACCUUACUCCACAAGUAGUCCCAUCGAUUUACAUGGAACAACUCGGAGUUAAAGUACUACUCAAAUCACUUUCCAUGGGGGGGUCAUUUUGCAGUGACACUCGCUACAGGCACACUGCAAUAAAACUGGUAGCAUUCUUGGCUCUGACCAUUCAGAGGAAGCCAGUGUCCAUUUUUAAUGGGGCAUUUGACAUUCUAAUGGGAACAAACAGAGUGGCAUGCAGUCCAUCUCCCAGAGGAUGUUAUUCUAAAUCUUAGAGGGCCACUAUCAUUUGGGGAAACAGAAAAAAUUGAUUUUCCUGAUAUUGUUCUGCCCCCUUCAAAGGAAAUUCCAGCAGUGGGAACCUUCCAUG